rnacentral:tRNA from 1 species
GCCCUUAUAGCUCAGUGGGAGAGCACUUCCUUGGUAAGGAAAAGGUCAUGAGUUCGACUCUCAUUAAGGGCU